UUUACGUUCUUUAUGCUCAGUUAUUCACUCAUUUAUUUUGAAGAAUGUAGUCCUGCCACCGGAUGUUGGCAUGCUCUUAUUUUGGCGGAACGUUUUUUCUUUUCCUGUGUCAAAAGGUUAACUUCGCUAAUGGUGAUUGCAACCCCACGCAAAAAGUGCUCACAUAUUUUCUCAGUUUCAACCUGGCUGGUGGUAGGCUAAUGUGGAAGACUACCUCGUGUUUAAGCUAGCGCCCUUGGAAGGCGAAAUGAGUUUUCACGGUGCUUAUGGUGCUUAUGGUGCUUAUGGUGCUCAAGGUGCAAGAACUGAGCCGGAAGAAUAAAGGCACCCGUUUGAAACUCCACGUCUGACUAAUCCAUUCCAAGAGGCCGCUACAUUUACAGUAUUCUUGGGCGAUGUUACGAGAUGUGCCGAGGCUUCGAAGCUUGUGUCGAGUAAUGGAGGGGGCGUUUCCGCGAAGCGCGUUUCGAGGCUUGGUUCAUUUAGGGGAGGAGCUGAAAAUGAUGACGUCUGAAGCCUCGCUGCCCGGCUGUACCACGUGACUGCUUCGGGCAGUGGUUCAUUUUGGCGCGACGUUUGACAGCAAUAUAAACCCUUCAGGCUCCAUUCAAAAUGUGGCUUUUUGAUGAGGAUUUGAAGUCAUUUCAGCGUUUGGAUAGAGGUUAUAGAGUUUGGAUACUAGAGUUUGGAGAUAGUUUGGAGGAGAUAGUUUGGAGAGUGGAUGGAGCCAGUGAGGAAGAGGAGGAUUUCCCCUGUGUGGGUGUAACGGAUGCUAGCCUGUGAGGCUGAGAAAGUGUACGUAUGAUAGUACCAUUUGGGGAAAAUGUACACAAACACAAUAUAUUAAAAAAAUAUUUUAUUCUACAUAGAUGUGGUCAUUUAUGUAGAGACUGAUUGUU